rnacentral:rRNA from 1 species
AUAUUGCACAAUGGGCGAAAGCCUGAUGCAGCGACGCCGCGUGAGGGAAGACGGCCUUCGGGUUGUAAACCUCUGUCAUUCGGGACGAAUUAGAUGACGGUACCGAAGAAGGAAGCUCCGGCUAACUACGUGCCAGCAGCCGCGGUAAUACGUAGGGAGCGAGCGUUGUCCGGAAUUACUGGGUGUAAAGGGAGCGUAGGCGGGAAAGCAAGUUGGAAGUGAAAUGCAUGGGCUUAACCCAUGAGCUGCUUUCAAAACUGUUUUUCUUGAGUGAAGUAGAGGCAGGCGGAAUUCCUAGUGUAGCGGUGAAAUGCGUAGAUAUUAGGAGGAACACCAGUGGCGAAGGCGGCCUGCUGGGCUUUAACUGACGCUGAGGCUCGAAAGCGUGGGUAGCAAACAG